UACAGAGGUCCCGAGCGUUGUUCGGAUUCACUGGGCGUAAAGCGUAUGUAGGCGGCUAGGUAAGUCAGGCGUGCAAGCCCGUGGCUCAACCACGGAAUUGCGUUUGAUACUGCUUAGCUUGAGCACAGGGGAGGAAAGCGGAACUCCCAGUGUAGCGGUGAAAUGCAUUGAUAUUGGGAAGAACAUCUGUGGCGAAGGCGGCUUUCUGGUCUGUUACUGACGCUGAGAUACGAAAGCCAGGGUAGCGAACGGG
rnacentral:rRNA from 1 species